GAGUUUGAUUAUGGCUCAGGAUGAACGCUAGCGAUAGGCUUAACACAUGCAAGUCGAGGGGCAGCGAGGGUAGCAAUACCUGUCGGCGACCGGCGCACGGGUGAGUAACGCGUAUGUAACCUGCCCGCAACAGGGGGAUAACCCGGCGAAAGUCGGACUAAUACCGCAUAAAACAGGGGUCCCGCAUGGGAAUAUUUGUUAAAGAUUUAUCGGUUGCGGAUGGGCAUGCGUACCAUUAGGUAGUUGGUGAGGUAACGGCUCACCAAGCCUUCGAUGGUUAGGGGUUCUGAGAGGAAGGUCCCCCACACUGGUACUGAGACACGGACCAGACUCCUACGGGAGGCAGCAGUGAGGAAUAUUGGUCAAUGGGCGAGAGCCUGAACCAGCCAAGUCGCGUGAAGGAUGACCGCCCUAUGGGUUGUAAACUUCUUUUACAAGGGAAUAAAAUGAGAUACGUGUAUUUUAUUGC
rnacentral:rRNA from 1 species